UUACAAACCAAGAGGUGUAUUGAACACUAAGAACUGCUAAUUCUUUCCACUGAAGUUAAAUUCCUC
rnacentral:tRNA from 1 species